UGAAGUAAGUAAGGGCGUACGGUGAAUGCCUUGGUGCCAACAGGCGAAGAAGGACGCGGCAAGCUGCGAAAAGCCUCGGGAAGCUGCAAGCAAGCGAUGAUCCGGGGAUAUCCGAAUGGGGUAACCUGAUCGAGGCAAUACUCGAUCGUUCAUACCUGAAUACAUAGGGUAUGAAACGCGAAACCCGCUGAAGUGAAACAUCUCAGUAAGCGGAGGAAAAGAAAGAGAAAUCGAUUCCGUAAGUAGUGGCGAGCGAAAGCGGAUGGAGCCCAAACCGAAGGUAUUCCUUCGGGGUUGUAGGACCACGUCAUAUUCGACCAUACUGGAUAGUAGAACAGCCUGGAAAGGCUGGCCGGAGAAGGUGAAAGCCCUGUAGACGAAAUCCAGAGUGGGAAUUAGUGGUAUCCUGAGUAAUACAUCACACGUGGAACGAUGUAUGAACCCGCGCGGACCACCGCGCAAGGCUAAAUACUAGUUGGCGACCGAUAGUGAACAAGUACCGCGAGGGAAAGGUGAAAAGAACCGCUGUGAGCGGAGUGAAAUAGAACCUGAAACCGUAUGUCUACAAAGUGUCAGAGCAGAGCAAUCUGCGAUGGCGUGCCUUUUGUUUAAUGAGUCUGCGAGUCAGUGUUUGUGGCAAGACUAAGGGCUUCCGGCCCGGAGUCGCAGCGAAAGCAAGUCCGAACAGGGCGCAAUAAGUCGCAGGUACUGGACCCGAAGCGGAGGUGACCUACCCUUGGCCAGGUUGAAGCAUGGGUAAAACCAUGUGGAGGACCGAACAGGUGAACGUUGAAAAGUUCUCUGAUGAGCUGAGGGUAGGAGUGAAAGGCUAAUCAAACCCCGUGAUAGCUGGUUCUCUUCGAAAUGCAUUUAGGUGCAGCGUCACGUGCUGAUGCGCGGGGGUAGAGCACUGACAAGGCUAGGGGGCACACCCGCUUACCAAACCUUAUCAAACUCCGAAUACCGUGCAAUGGAACGUGGCAGUGAGACAGUGGGGGAUAAGCUUCAUUGUCGAGAGGGAAACAACCCAGACCAGCAGCUAAGGUGCCUAAAUAACGCUCAGUGGAAAGGAUGUGGGAUUACACAGACAGUGAGGAUGUUGGCUUAGAAGCAGCCACCAUUUAAAAAAUGCGUAAUAGCUUACUCAUCGAGUGAUCCUGCGCCGAAAAUGAUUGGCGAUCAAGCGUUAUACCGAAGCUCUGGACUUUGCCGCAAGGCAGAGUGGUAGAAGAGCGUUGCAUGCGCGUCGAAGGGCGAUGGCGACUGACCCUGGAGCACAUGCAAGUGAGUAUGCAGACAUGAGUAACGUUAAGCCGGGUGAAAUCCCCGGCCGCCGUAAACCCGAGGUUUCCAGGGCAACGUGUUUCGUCCCUGGGUUAGCCGGGACCUAAGCCGAGGCCGAGAGGCGUAGGCGAUGGACAUCAGGUUAAUAAUCCUGAGCUCGCAACCCUUAAACUGGGGGGACGCAUGAGAAAAGAUGACUAGGUUAUUGAAUUCCGAGUUGAGUCCACGGACUCAGCGCAUCAUUGGAUCGAGUGCCAAGAAAAGCCCCAGCGUAUGCUAAGCGACCCGUACCGCAAACCGACACAGGUGGGUGGGUAGAAUAUACCAAGGCGUAAGAGUGAAACCUGGUUAAGGAACUCGGCAAAUUAGCCCCGUAACUUCGGAAGAAGGGGUGCCUGCAGCGAUGCAGGCCGCAGAGAAAUGGCCCAACCGACUGUUUAUCAAAAACACAGCACUCUGCAAAGACGCAAGUCGAAGUAUAGGGUGUGACACGUGACCAAUGCCGAAAGAUUAAGGCAAGGGGUUAGCCGCAAGGCGAAGCUCUAAACCCAAGUCCCGGUGAAUGUCGGCCGUAACUAUAACGGUCCUAAGGUAGCGAAAUUCCUUGUCGGG
rnacentral:rRNA from 1 species